CUCGGGGUCUUCCGGAGCCUCCGGUCGCGGGUCUAAGAGGACUAGGGCGGGAGCGGCGCGGAAGAAAGAGAGGACUGCGUUUUGGGGCGUUCUGUCAGAGGGGAAGGACGUGUGGAUUGGAGUCAGACUGCACUCCCGCCCUAUUUCUGUCGCUUAGAAACUAGUACUCUCAGAACAUGGAGUGGAAGAGGUGAUCAUGGUAGCAACAGACUGAGGAGUGAAUUUGAACUUGAGUUUUGUCUUGCUGUUUUUCAUUGAUGGAACCCAACUGGAAAUCAGAAUACAAGGGCACUCGAUUAAUUCAGUUCACAGAGGACUUCUUCCUGUGGCACGGAGCAUGGUGGGGAAAGGUACAAAGUAGACCUCGAGAAACAAACAGCAUGGUGACCAGUCACAAAAUGUAUACAGAAAAUUAACAGAUUUUUUUUCCUUGAAGAGAUCAAAUCUAAAAAACAGUAUAAAAAUAAGAAUGUGCAGGAUCUAUAUAAAGAAAUCUAUACUCUACCAAGGUACCUGAAAAAAUACACAGAUAAAUGAAGGCUUAUGGCUUGAUUUUAGGUAUAAAAAGUUAAUGUUUAAAGACAUCCAUUUAUCCACCUGGAUAAACAUGGUCAUUAUUUUUUAAAUCAAAGUCCCAAGAGCUCCAUUUCACAACCUGAAACUAUUUAAAAUCAUGUUAGAAAAUUAAAUAGUAAGAAAAUACUAGAAAAAAUCAGAAGAAUGAGUAGAAUCAUAGAGCUACAAUAAUUAAAAUAGGAUGGUUUGGGGGGAAGAUCAGUAAGUUAGAUCAAUGAAAUUGCAUAGAAAAGCAAGAAAUUGAUUAUUAUAUUUCUAUGGGCACGUGAAAACUGUGGCAUUUCUAAUCACAGGGGAACUUAUAGAUUAUAAGAUAAAAGACAUUAAGCCUAUUGGAUAACUAGUUUAGAGAAAAGAAAAUUCAGUUACGAUCUGACCUCAAGAAAAAAAUGUAAAUAGAUUAAAUAUGUAUAUGUAAAAUCAAAAAAAUCAUGAAUAUAUAAAUAAAAUUCGAUAAGUGUUUCUAUAUUUCAGAUGUGGGUCUAUACGGUAAUUUUAUAAUAAAUCAAUUAAAAGAUAUACUAAAAUCAUUUUAACUGGGUGAAAACCAUUUUCACUCACUUAAUUUUUUAAAAUGGUGAAAUCCACUCAUAAACAGUAGCCAGAAAUCAAAGUCAGAAGGCUAAUAUGUAUUUAAAAAGCUAAAGGGUUAGCUUUAGGAGUGUCCAACCUAUGGAGUCACACAGGACCAUAGUUAAUAAUGGCCUCAUACUUGGUUUGAUAUUCUGCUGUCACAGUCUUGAAAUCCUUAACAAUUUUUGAACAAAGAGCCCUGGAUUUUCGUUUUGCACUCAGUCCUGCAAAUUAGGUAGCGAUCCUAGUUAACCUUCCCAUAUACUGAGUGAAAUACAAACUAAAACCUGAAUUUAAAAAUUGUUUUUAGGUUGAAAACAGUAAAAUAAAAACACUUAUUUUUUUUACUUGACAACAUCAAGAAUGCAGAAAAAGAAACACUCAUAUACCUUUAGUUCAACCAUUUGCAAAUACUCAGGAAUCAUAUAUCAAAAUUUAAAGUGAAUACUUUUUAUUGAGCAUUUUUUUCUACAGGAAUACAUCUACAGGAACUAAUUGAACCCAUACAUAAAAAUCAGGAUAUUUAUCACAGUAUUGCUAAUAAUAACAAAAAUAUGUGAACCAAUCUAAAUGUUCAUAAAAAUUGGUUAUAUAUUGAAGGAUACAUUUCUGUAGUUUCAUUUAUGCUUCAACCUUAAAUGUGAUAUAAAUAUACGUAUAAACACACACAUUUGAAAUGUAAAGAUGUACAGUAGAGUGAUAUGGAAAGAUACUCAUGAUUCAUUGUUACGUGGAAAGCCAACUAUGUAACAGCAAAGAUAGUGAAAUGCUACAGGUAGCUGUACAGAACUUUUUAUAUAUAGGUAUAAAAAUGUGUGAAAAGAAAAACAAAGAUAUUUUUAUCCAGAAUUACAGGAACUUUUAUUUUCUUGUUACAAUUUUAGAUAGCCUUCCUUUUAACAAUGGGCUUUUAUUUCUAUUAAAAUAGAAAAAUAAAUCAGCUUGAACUAAUAAGAACUGGGUCAUUUAUGGCUGUGAUCAUUUAAAUAUUUAUAUAAAUAAUUUCCAAAAAUAGUUAUUUUUUUUAUAAAACAAAGGAAUUAAUGUAAACAGUUUGGAAAGAAAAGUUAAAUAACUUUAAAAAGUUAUGUUGUUGCAAACAUGUCAAUUAUACAGCUAAAAAUUGGGGGGUGUAAGUAUAAGUAUACUAGUUUCCUAAUCUUAAAAAUCAGCAAUUACAUCUAUACUGCUUCAGCCCUGACACAGAUAGGUAGAAGAAUAUAGGUUUCAUUUUAUUUUUGCAAAGCAUAAAGGCAGUCAAAUUUACAAAGAUUUGGAGAAGCAUAGAAAAUAAUUUCAGAUGGUACAUGAUUAUGAGAUAGAAACGUGAGGUAGUAUGUCUUGAACUGGAGUGAAGAAUAGUACUUAAUGUGAAAAAUAAUAAUUUAUACAGAUUCAAAUUCAAUUAAAAAGGAAACCAUAUCACACUUAAUGAACUGCAGAAAAUUUUAGUCUUUCAUCUAAAAUGAGAACACACAGAAUGUAGCUGAAUCCAGACGAUGUAUUACAGUCAUUGAGUUAAUUCUCUAUGCUGAUUAAAAUAAAGACAUAAUCUCCCAUAAAUUGCUUCCUGAUAUUCCUUUAAGUUGUUUUACUCGAACGAGAUUUAAGAUGGAGAAAUAUAGCAGACAUCUAAAUGCAGGACCACCUGCAGGUUGAGUCUCAGAAGUCUGAUGAGUAGAGAUACUUUAGUCAGGUGUCUGAUGCAAAACAUCACAUUUCUAUCAUCAUUUUCAACUGGAAAGGGGCUUCUUGGAGGUAAUCUAGGACUGUAUGGUAGUCAGAAUGAAAAGUAACAUAAUACAAAUUUCAUCUGUAUAUUUGAACUAUUAAAAUUUACUUUAAAAAAUUAUUGGAUAUUUAGUCAUCUUGCCAAAAUCACUUAAAGUAUAUUAAGUUAUUUUAUGCACUCUUUGGAAACAUUUUUACCUAUGUAAUCAAAGUGGUAGAAUAAGAAACAUUAUAUAAAAAUUCAAAAGUUGAAUCCACUUUGUCUGUAUUCAUUAUAUUGACAGCUGGAUAAAAUAAAAUAAUUAAAGAACUUAUGCCUUUCAGAACAUUAACUAACAGUUUCUAACUGCUUCAGUUAUUCAAGAUAAGUUCUGGAUAUCUAUACAGCAUAGUGACCAUAGGUAGCAAUACUAUUUUAUUGUUAAAAUUUAUUAAGAUAGUAGGUCUUAUGUUAAUUCUUUCUAACACACAAACACACACAGAUUAAUAAAAAGGAAGUGGGAAGAAACUUUGGGAGGUGAUGGAUAUUUAUAACCUUGAAGAUGGUGAUGCAUCAUGGAUGUAUACUUACUGCUAAACUUAUGAAGUUGUAUAUGCUAAAUACGUACAGCGUUUUACAUGUCAAUCAUAUGUCAAUAAAGUGGUUUAAAACAAAAACAGAAACAAAUCUACAUUAAUUGUAAAUGCUUAUAAGUUAUCAAAAGCAAUACUGAAUUAACGAGUGGUGAUUUGUGAAAAAUGUUUUUUUUUAAUGAAGCUGACCCUAUACAUAGGUGGAUGCUUUAGUGACAAAAUUUGUUGAUGCUUGCGAAAACUUCAGACGAUAGGUGGCCAAAUGAAUAAAAAACAAAACUGCUGCUGAUUUUCUUUAGUGGGUUUCUGUAGAUCAUAAGCAUAAGGAGUAGCCGUUGUGUUUUUUAAAAAAUUCAGAUACUCAUACUGAAUGGGCAAAAGCUGGAACCAUUCCCCUUGAAAACAGGCACAAGACAAGGAUGCCCUCUCUCACCUCUCCUAUUCAGCAUAUUGGAAGUUCUGGCCAGUACAAUGAGGCAAGAGAAAGAAAUAAAGGGUAUUCAAAUAGGAAGGAGGAAGUCAAACUUUGUUUGCACAUGACAUGAUCCUGUAUCUAAAAAACCCUAUAACUCAGCCCCAAAGCUUCUUAAGGUGAUAAGCAACUUCAGCGAAGUCUCAGGAUACAAAAUCAAUGUCCAAAAAUUGCUAGCAUUUCUAUACACCAACAACAGUCAAGCAGAGAACCAAAUCAUGAAUAAACUCCCAUUCACAGCUGCCACAAAAAGAAUAAAAUACCUACGAAUACAGCUAACCAGGGAAGUGAAGGACCUUUUCAAGGAAAACUACAAACCACUGCUCAAAGAAAUCAGAGAUGACACAAAUGCAAAAACAUUCCAUGCUCGUAGAUAGGAAGAAUCAAUAUCGUGAAAAUGGCCAUAUUGCCCAAAGCAAUUUAUAGAUUUAAUGCUACUUCCAUUAAACUACCAUAGACAUUCUUCACAGAAUUAGAAAAGAACUAUUUUAAAAUAUGGAACCAGAAAGGUGCCAGAAUAGCCAAGACAAUCCUAAGCAAAAAGAAGAAAGCUGGAGGCAUCAUGCUGCCUGACUUCAAACUAUCUACAAGGCUACAUUACCCAAAACAGCAUAGUCCUGGUACAAGACUAGACACAUAGACCAAUGGAACAGAGUAGAGAACCCAGAAAUAAAACCAAACACCUACGACCAUCUGAUCUUUGACAAACCUGACAAAAACAAGAAAUGGGGAAAGGAUUCCCUAUUUAAUAAAUGGUGCUGGGAGAACUGGCUAGCAAUAUGCAAAAAAAAUGAAACUCGAACCCUUCCUUAUACCAUAUACAAAAAUCAACUCAAGAUGAAUUAAUGACUUAAAUGUAAAACCCAAAACUAUAAAAACCCUAGAAGAAAACCUAGGCAAUACCAUUCAGGACAUAGGCAUAAGCAAAGUUUUCAUGACAAAGAUCCAAAAAGCAAUUGCAACAAAAGCAAAAGUUGACAAAUGGGAUCUAAUUAAAGAGAUUCUGCACAGCAAAAUAAACUAGCACAGCAAAAUAAACUAUCAACAGAGUGAACAGACAAUGUACAGAAUGGGAGAAAAUUCUUGUAAUCUAUUCAUCUAACAAAGGUCUAACAUUCAACAUCUACAAGGAACUUAAAACAAAUUUACAAGAAAACAACAGACAAGCCCAUUGAAGAG
rnacentral:lncRNA from 10 species